UGCGUCCGGAGAAGACAAGCAGUCA
rnacentral:piRNA from 1 species